rnacentral:rRNA from 1 species
UCGUGCUACCCUGAAUGCACCUGAUCUUGUCUGAUCUCAGAAGCUAAGCAGGGUCAGGUCUGUUAGUAUUUGGAUCAGGAGAAAUAACCAACAUGAGGACAGUAUCAGAAUGCAAAGACAGAGCUGAU